rnacentral:rRNA from 1 species
CGGACCGGGGCGACAGCAAUAUGAAGGUCAGGCUGAAGACCUUACCCGAUUAGCUGAGAGGUGGUGCAUGGCCGUCGUCAGUUCGUACUGUGAAGCAUCCUGUUAAGUCAGGCAACGAGCGAGACCCACGUCCACAGUUGCCAGCAUACCCGUCCGGGGUGAUGGGUACACUGUGGAGACCGCCGCUGCUAAAGCGGAGGAAGGAGUGGGCAACGGUAGGUCAGUAUGCCCCGAAUCUCCCGGGCUACACGCGGGCUACAAUGGUUGGUACAAUGGGCAUCUACCCCGAAAGGGGAAGGAAAUCUCUUAAAGCCAAUCGUAGUUCGGAUUGAGGGCUGCAACUCGCCCUCAUGAAGCUGGAAUCCGUAGUAAUCGCGUUUCAACAGAACGCGGUGAAUACGUCCCUGCUCCUU